rnacentral:rRNA from 1 species
ACGUAGGAGACGAGCGUUGUCCGGAGUUACUGGGCGUAAAGGGUGCGCAGGCGGCCCUACGCGUCGCGAGUGAAAUCUCCCGGCUCAACUGGGAGGGUGGUCGCGAGACGGUAGGGCUUGAGGCUCGGUGAGGGGCGUGGAAUUCCGGGUGGAGCGGUGAAAUGCGUAGAGAUCCGGAGGAACACCAACGGCGAAGGCAGCGCCCUAGACGAGACCUGACGCUCAGGCACGAAAGCUCGGGGAGCGAACAGGAUUAGAUACCCUGGUAGUCCGAGCCGUAAACGAUGUCCACCAGGUGUUGGGGGUAUCGACCCCUCCAGCGCCGCAGCUAACGUGAUGAGUGGACCGCCUGGGGAGUACGGCCGCAAGGUUA